ensembl:piRNA 21ur-2931 ncRNA
UCCAACAAAUGUUGUUUUUUU